AAGAUUCUAGCUUAAUUGGUAAAGCACUUAUUUUACACAUAAGUGAGUAUGGGUUCAAAUCCCAUGAAUCUUA
rnacentral:tRNA from 1 species